rnacentral:rRNA from 1 species
GGAGCAUGUGGUUUAAUUCGAUGCAACGCGAAGAACCUUACCUGGUCUUGACAUCCACAGAACUUUCCAGAGAUGGAUUGGUGCCUUCGGGAACUGUGAGACAGGUGCUGCAUGGCUGUCGUCAGCUCGUGUUGUGAAAUGUUGGGUUAAGUCCCGCAACGAGCGCAACCCUUAUCCUUUGUUGCCAGCGAUUAGGUCGGGAACUCAAAGGAGACUGCCAGUGAUAAACUGGAGGAAGGUGGGGAUGACGUCAAGUCAUCAUGGCCCUUACGACCAGGGCUACACACGUGCUACAAUGGCGCAUACAAAGAGAAGCGACCUCGCGAGAGCAAGCGGACCUCAUAAAGUGCGUCGUAGUCCGGAUUGGAGUCUGCAACUCGACUCCAUGAAGUCGGAAUCGCUAGUAAUCGUGGAUCAGAAUGCCACGGUGAAUACGUUCCCGGGCCUUGUACACACCGCCCGUCACACCAUGGGAGUGGGUUGCAAAAGAAGUAGGUAGCUUAACCUUCGGGAGGGCGCUUACCACUUUGUGAUUCAUGACUGGGGUGAAGUCGUAACAAGGUAACCGUAGGGGAACCUGCGGUUGGA